CCGUACGUCAAAAUUCAAUGUAAACACGGAAAAUGGGAUUGGGCGUCACUGGACAUCAUUUGUGAUGUUCAAGUCGAAAUACACGUGUUCAAAUGGCUGUCAGUUGACCCAACGAAAAAACCGAAUUCGUUAGUUGGGCCGAAGUCGUGGCCCACCCAGGGUUCAUAUAUCAGGGUUCACUCAUUUCGACAGUAUGUGGGAGAGACUAGCGCGGGGGUGAAAAAUUCAUUUUCAGUGCAAAACAUAAACAAACUCGUUGGCUGCCCCAUAUAAAAAUCCAAGAUGGCUGAAUCAUGAAAUUGGCAUACACGCUUAGAUUGGUUUACAUAUUUAUGGGUACUAUAUUCACUCAUAUGUGGGUAAAUGCAAUUAUACCAAUAUUAUUAGUAAAACUUACCCAAAAUAUUGGUGAAAUUUACUGAUAUUCUGAAGAAAUAGACUUUACCUAUAUUUGGGUAAUCGCAUUCACCCAUAUUUGGAUGAAAAAAUGAACAUAAAUAAAUAAAGCAGAACUAAUGGCCGCCUCGUGAAUGUCGCCGUCGUCACAGCAGUUUAUAAAUUCAUCCCUUUCUUUCAUUGUUCAACCCAGUCAAAGCCGGUAUCUAUCAACGUACCUAGUUCCGAGUGUUCUUCAUAUGAGAUUGGAACUUCUCGAAGAUCUCCAGUUCCGACCAAACAGCACCAUAUCGACCUCCAUGCAUGCGGCCAAAACGGAUACUAGUUCCUAAUCGAUCAGCGGAGAUUCCAUUGUCGAAACUGUGAGCCCCUGACCCCAAACGGUUCCACAUUCUUAGGAAGUGCCAGUGCUUCGGAUUGUUUCGCAACAGUUCCAGUGAGCUAAUUGAUUUUGCAACAGAAAGGUCUUGACGAUGUUGUUCCGACAUGCAUGCUACCUACCGUCUUGGUCUCAGUUUUGGUGUUCCCGAUCAUCAAUUUGGAAGUGGCCGUGAUGGCAUCAAGAAGCACAGAUCCAGUUAAUUCGAAAAGGAAAUGGAACGUGAGUGCGAAAGGGUGCGGGUACGGGUGCAGUAGUUCCUGUUUGUACCAAAAAUUUUGUUUGCUAUUAUCCGAUGCUGCUCCUGAAGAAACCUCCGGAUUGAUAGGAUUGAUCACCAAUUCCGCAUUGGCAUGCCGUAAAACAUCCACACCGGCAUUGCGUUUAUGUUGUCAGCUAACUUAUGUUUCGGUGUUCCGUUCGUUCCACUCGAGGUUCCACCAUACUGAUACGACGCUGCUACUAAGGGAUGUCCUGUCCUGGGAUCUGUUCCUGCGGUUCCUGCUGAUGAUUAUACAGUACACUGCCAAAAAUAUCUAUAUAAGAUAUAUGUGUCGCCGUUAUACAUUUUUGCAAUAGCUCCACCCUAAUAUAAUCGAUAUAGAACCACACAUAAAUUAAAGAAUUGCUAAUUUGGAACCACACAUAAAGUUUAUUUAGAUAUAUAUUUCAUUAGUAGUUCGCGUGGUGAAUGGUUAUGUGUGCGCUAAUAUACAUCAUAAGUUAAAUCUAUGGAUUUUUGCCAAUAAAUAUGUGUGGAUUUUUAGUAGUGUAGCAGUCAAGCAUCCGGCAAC